rnacentral:rRNA from 1 species
GACGAACGCUGGCGGCGUGCUUAACACAUGCAAGUCGAACGGAAAGGCCCUGCUUUUGUGGGGUGCUCGAGUGGCGAACGGGUGAGUAACACGUGAGUAACCUGCCCUUGACUUUGGGAUAACUUCAGGAAACUGGGGCUAAUACCGGAUAGGAGCUCCUGCUGCAUGGUGGGGGUUGGAAAGUUUCGGCGGUUGGGGAUCGACGCGCGGCUUAUCAGCUUGUUGGUGGGGUAGUGGCUUACCAAGGCUUUGACGGGUAGCCGGCCUGGGAGGGUGACCGGCCACAUGGGGACUGAGAUACGGCCCAGACGCCUACGGGAGGCAGCAGUGGGAAAUAUUGCACAAUGGGGGGAAGCCUGAUGCAGAAACGCUGCGUGCGGGAUGACGGCCUUCGGGUUGUGAACCGCUUUCGCCUGUGACGAAGCGUGAGUGACGGUAAUGGGUAAAGAAGCACCGGCUAACUACGUG